rnacentral:lncRNA from 1 species
UGGGCGCAGCCGGGCAGAGCGAGGCCGCGGGAGGCCGCCGGCCCCGGGUCACCGCCACCGCCGGCCCCGCGGCGCCGCUGUCACUUCGGUCCCGCGACCCCAACUUUCCGCACAGUCGCGGAGCUGGAAGUUUCCGGGCUUCGCGGGCGCUGGGCUGGGUUUCAGCAGCGACGUCUGAGCUUGGCAACAAAGAGGGAAAGCAGGCCUGGAGAGGGAGGAAAGAAAGAAAGACAUGGAGAGCGGCCCGGCUACUUAGAAGUCUCCAGAACUUGAAAUUCCACCCAGAAGCUUUUUUUGGUCGUUUCUUCUUAAGUGGGUCAGUCCCGGAGGGCCAGGCAGAGUUUGUGGAAGAGGCCACACCCUGGGGGCACCUGAGGUUGUCACCCUCCACCCACCUGGGAACUUCCGAACUUGCCAUGAGGCUGAGGACCUAGAGGUGGCCGGAGGACUGAAAAAUGCAUCCGGAGCUGUCUUCCUGAACGCUCAACCCAAGUGCUUUCUGAUGCGUGAUCACUGGUGCCCAAGUUGUCACCAGAUGGGAUGUCCCCUUGCUCCAUCAAAACUGCCAAGACCUUGUUCGGCCUGGCUUUAUGGGCCGGGAGCCUGCGCCGCCGCCCCUCGCUCUGGGCCCUCCUGUCCCUGUCUUAAAAUUCUUAAUCCUUUUUGAACGAGGGGCCCUACGCUUUCAUUUUGCAUUGGGCCCUGAGCUGUGUCCUAGUUUGGCUGCUGGUUAACAGCAGCGUAAAGUUAAAAAAAAAACCAACCACCAUGAGUUGACGUUUCUUUUGUUCUUAUGUUUUCUUUUUAAAAUUGUGAUG